ensembl:lncRNA
GCAGCAUCUCUGCUGGGGACAGGAAGAGACUGAACAGGGUGAUCCGAAGGGCCAGCUCUGUUCUAGGAUGCCCUCUGGACCCAGUGGAGGUGGUGAGUGACAGGAGAAUGGCGGCUAAGCUGUCAUCCCUGUUGGACAACGUCUCCCACCCCAUGCAGCAGACUGUGACAGCACUGAGCAGCCCCUUCAGUGGGAGACUGCGGCACCCACGGUGUGGGACGGAGAGAUUUCGCAGGUCUUUCCUCCCCACUGCUGUCAGACUCCACAACAAAGACUUUAACUGAACAAACACACAUCCACACAUGUGCAAUAACACUAAGUGCAAUAAUCUUUUCUGGCAUCGUUGUAUUUUUACUCAGUUGUAUAUAGCAUUCGUAUUCUAUUUUUAUCUUAUUGUAUAUUUUUAUUCUAUUUUAUUCUACUGUAUAUAGUAUAUUAUUUUAUUCUAUUCUGUACAGCUGUGUACUGUAUUUAUUCUUAUUGUAUUCUAAUUUUUGCGUCAUAACUUUUGCACUGUCCACUUCCUGCUGUGACAAAACAAAUUUCCCACAUGUGGGACUAAUAAAGGUUAUCUUAUCUUAUCUUAUCUUCAAUUUAACUGAAAGCAUUAUUUUUUAAUAUAAAUCACAACACUGCAACAUUACAUCACCACGACAUUACUAUGAAUUUGUUUGGCCAGGGAAUAACUAGUUUCAGUUUUAUUGGCAUAAUAUCAAACGCUAAAGCUAAAGACAUUUCCUUUUUUUGGGGGGGUGUUUUUUUACUUUAUUUUUGUUUUUUGUUUUUUAUUUAUUCUGAUUAUUUUAAGAUAUCUAGAUUUUUGUUUAUUUGUUUAUUUGUGGUUAAGUAAAAAUGUUUUCACAAUUAGUAUUUAGUUUGAGUUAGCCUAACUAUAACUGCUCAGAAGCCUCUGCCUAAAGACAUUGACGUUAAAAUAAAAAUAACCGUUGUUAUUAUUUUUCAUUUAAAAUGAACUGCCUUGCAGGGACAGCGUCAUCACAGCUGUGGGAGACACGUAAAAAAUGUAGACUGUUUAAUGGCUGCGAAAUUUUCUGCUCUAAACCUCCAGAUGUAAUCUCGUGUAAUAUCGUGAGAUUAUUGUGUGGUUAAAUUUCAAACCUGUAUUAAGUAUCCUUAUUUAGUGACUUAUUUAAUCCCUUUGAGGAAAUGUUAUUAUAAUAAUUACAAAAUAAAAGCCAAAACUGUAUCGAAAAUGUUAGUACCGCUAAAAAUAUAUUUGUCACAUCAUUCGUUUCUAU